AGCGAACGCUGGCGGCAGGCCUAACACAUGCAAGUCGAACGAACCUUUCGGGGUUAGUGGCGGACGGGUGAGUAACACGUGGGAACGUGCCUUUAGGUUCGGAAUAACUCAGGGAAACUUGUGCUAAUACCGAAUGUGCCCUUCGGGGGAAAGAUUUAUCGGCUUUAGAGCGGCCCGCGUCUGCUUAGCUAGUUGGUUGAGGUAAUGGCUCACCAAGGCGACGAUCAGUAGCUGGUCUGAGAGGAUGAUCAGCCACAUUGGGACUGAGACACGGCCCAAACUCCUACGGGAGGCAGCAGUGGGGAAUCUUGCGAAAUGGGCGAAAGCCUGACGCAGCCAUGCCGCGUGAAUGAUGAAGGUCUUAGGAUUGUAAAAUUCUUUCACCGGGGACGAUAAUGACGGUACCCGGAGAAGAAGCCCCGGCUAACUUCGUG
rnacentral:rRNA from 1 species